GGCUGAUUGGAUGAAGCUUCAGUGUGUUGUAUUGUAUGUCUUUAAGGAUGUUUUUAUUUGAGUCAUUUUGUGGUUUAUUUUAUUUUCCAUCUAUUUAUGUUGUUUAUUGUUUUAUUUAGUUAAUUUUGUUUCACUUAUUGGCUAUUUCUGUCUCAUUUAACAUCUCUGUAUUUCAUUUUGGCCUAUUCAUGUUUCAUUCUGCUAAUUUACCUCUUGAUUUUUUUUGUCCAUUUUAAUAAUUUUGUGGCUCAUAUUUGGCCAUUUCGCACCUCUUAAUUACCUUUUUUGUUCUACUUUGUUACUUUUGUUGUAUAUUUUGUUUAUUUUUUAUCCCAUUUUGAUCAUUUUGUGUUUAAUUUUGGCCAUGUUGUUUCUCAGUUUGAUCCUUUUCUAUCUUUUCAUGUUGUUUUUAGUUCCAUUUUGGUCAUUUUGCAUGUGUUCAUGGAUUCUAAUUUUCCAUGUUGGACAUUUUACCCACUUCAGUCAUUUUAUAUGGUUUUAUGUGAUUGUUCUUGUCCCAUAUGGGUGAUUUUGUGCCUCCCUGUGUCUCCACACUUGUGGAAACAAAUCUCACAAACAAAUCAAGCACUUGUCCUGUAACUUUGUCCUGUGAGAGACCAUCAGCGACCCUUUAGAGGGCUGCAGUCAGCGAGGAGAGAAGAGGAAAGCUGCUGAUGCUGCUGAAGCUCCAACUAAAAAGAGGAGUCUUCAACUGGUGGAGGACAGAGUAGAGCUGUCAGAAGAGGAACAAAGAGGUCAGCAGGAAUAGAUGUGGUGGAAAAAUGAAGAUUUGUGUCAUUUAUAUCCCUCACAGUUGUAGUAAAACUAAAUCUGUGUCUGUUCAGCCCAAUUCGACAGCAAAUACGAGCAGCAGCAUCAGCUCAGAGAAGGAGGUUGUGGGUCCGUGUUCGCCGGCCGCCGCAAAUCAGACAGUUUGCUGGACUUUGUCACUUGGAUUUUGAAAACUGCCCCAUUCAUAAAUGAAGAGAAUUAUUCUUGUAUUGUUCUGGGAGUUGGUGAUGCUGGGAUACUGAAGGAGACUGAUGUGGACGUCAGGAGGCUGAGCUCUGAUUCCAUUAAAAGGAUCAACUACAGAAGAACCCCGCAGAGUUUAGUUCCAAACAAAUGAUCUCCAGUCCAAGUUGAAGACAUAAAGUGUGAUCUGGAGGGAAGUUGUCAGUGUGAAUGUGUCGGUUCCCUAGUUAACUCACCUGGUUACGUCUCCAUCCUGAUGCUGCUCUGCUGGACCAGAGCUUCUGGACCAGCCGGGUGGACCUUCCUUCACUGAUCUUCCCAGUGGGAGUGAUUCUCAGUUUGCCUUGGUUGACUGCAAACUCCCUAAAAUGGACACUUGAGAGGAGAUUGUGGACAAAUCUAUACAACAGCUUGUUUAGUUUGUCCUGUUCUUAAAUCAGUAGAAAACUGUUGAGAGUGUUGCUCUAACUCCAUGUGUAUAAAAGCUCCUCCUACUGACCAAUCAGUUCUCUUGAAAACUGUCAUCAGCAUUAGAAGAUCCAGUGGAGCUCAGAGCACCGAUAGAGGGAGAGGAAGAUCGGAGUUUUUAGAGCUGCAAGCAAAGUCAUUUCAUUGUUCUACCUCCUUUGUAUUACAAUACGAUUUAUGAUUCUAGAUUGUUCCUGUGAGAAAUAUUUGAAGUUGUAUCCACUGACCUGUAGUGUUCCAUACCACAUGAGAGUCAGCUUACUUAUCGCUUUGAAUCAUAGUUUGAUGUCUUGCAGCCAGAAGAAUACAGCUGAGAACAUGUUCAUUAAACACAACAUCCAGUUGGAAUUAGAGUCUGAUCUACUUGUGAGGUGAUAAUUUGGUAGUAAUAUUGUUAAUCCUGUUAACUUUCACACAGUCUGCAGUUUUUGCAGCUUUCCCUCCUUCAGCUGCUGCAGCUGUGUUACUGUCAGUCUGUGUUUGGAGUUUAUAAUCUUUGUGUUUCUCUAAUAUCAUCGUUUGCUCUUCAUUUGUAAAACAGGACACUUUGGCUCCAGUAUUGUAACGGUCCUGAUGAUACUGGGACUAAAUAUGUCGUCUACAUGGAUCAUCUGCUUUUAAAAUGACGCAGCAGCAAACAUCACAAGAAAAAGUCACUCAGAGAGAAUCUUGAACUAAUUCACUUUAAAACCAGCAGCAGCAUCUGUUGAAGCCUCAGAUUAAAACUUGAAGCUUUUAAAGUCUGGAAUCAUUAUUUGAUGUCAACUCCAACAUGAAGGAGUGCAGAGACAACACAGAAUAAACCUACUUUAGUUUGUAUUUGGUUGAAUAAAGCACCAGAAAUGACUCA